UUCAGCUUCAUCAAAAACUACCUUGACCAAAAACUUUAACCUGAAACUCCCACUUUCAUUUUCUAUGUUCAAUGGACCGUGAAAUUGGGGUCAAAAGUCUAAUUUGGCUUUAAAAUUAGAAAGAUCAUAUCAUAAGCAACAAGUGUACCAAGUUAUAAGUUGAUUGGAUUUCAGCUUCAUCAAAAACUACCUUGACUAAAAACUUUAACCUGAAGCAGGACGAACGAACGAACGGACGGACGGACGGACGAACGAACGAACGGAGCCACAGACCAGAAAACAUAAUGCCCCUCUACUA
rnacentral:lncRNA from 1 species